rnacentral:rRNA from 1 species
ACGAACGCUGGCGGCGUGGAUAAGACAUGCAAGUCGAACGAGAGAAUUGCUAGCUUGCUAAUAAUUCUCUAGUGGCGCACGGGUGAGUAACACGUGAGUAACCUGCCCCCGAGAGCGGGAUAACCCUGGGAAACUGGGAUUAAUACCGCAUAGUAUCGAAAGAUUAAAGCAGCAAUGCGCUUGGGGAUGGGCUCGCGGCCUAUUAGUUAGUUGGUGAGGUAACGGCUCACCAAGGCGAUGACGGGUAGCCGGUCUGAGAGGAUGUCCGGCCACACUGGAACUGAGACACGGUCCAGACACCUACGGGUGGCAGCAGUCGAGAAUCAUUCACAAUGGGGGAAACCCUGAUGGUGCGACGCCGCGUGGGGGAAUGAAGGUCUUCGGAUUGUAAACCCCUGUCAUGUGGGAGCAAAUUAAAAAGAUAGUACCACAAGAGGAAGAGACGGCUAACUCUGUGCCAGCAGCCGCGGUAAUACAGAGGUCUCAAGCGUUGUUCGGAAUCACUGGGCGUAAAGCGUGCGUAGGCUGUUUCGUAAGUCGUGUGUGAAAGGCGCGGGCUCAACCCGCGGACGGCACAUGAUACUGCGAGACUAGAGUAAUGGAGGGGGAACCGGAAUUCUCGGUGUAGCAGUGAAAUGCGUAGAUAUCGAGAGGAACACUCGUGGCGAAGGCGGGUUCCUGGACAUUAACUGACGCUGAGGCACGAAGGCCAGGGGAGCGAAAGGGAUUAGAUACCCCUGUAGUCCUGGCAGUAAACGGUGCACGCUUGGUGUGCGGGGAAUCGACCCCCUGCGUGCCGGAGCUAACGCGUUAAGCGUGCCGCCUGGGGAGUACGGUCGCAAGAUUAAAACUCAAAGAAAUUGACGGGGACCCGCACAAGCGGUGGAGUAUGUGGCUUAAUUCGAUGCAACGCGAAGAACCUUACCUGGGCUUGACAUGUAAUGAACAACAUGUGAAAGCAUGCGACUCUUCGGAGGCGUUACACAGGUGCUGCAUGGCCGUCGUCAGCUCGUGUCGUGAGAUGUUUGGUUAAGUCCAGCAACGAGCGCAACCCCUGUUGCCAGUUACCAGCACGUGAAGGUGGGGACUCUGGCGAGACUGCCCAGAUCAACUGGGAGGAAGGUGGGGACGACGUCAGGUCAGUAUGGCCCUUAUGCCCAGGGCUGCACACGUACUACAAUGCCCAGUACAGAGGGGGCCGAAGCCGCGAGGCGGAGGAAAUCCUGAAAACUGGGCCCAGUUCGGACUGUAGGCUGCAACCCGCCUACACGAAGCCGGAAUCGCUAGUAAUGGCGCAUCAGCUACGGCGCCGUGAAUACGUUCCCGGGUCUUGUACACACCGCCCGUCACAUCAUGGAAGCCGGUCGCACCCGAAGUAUCUGAAGCCAACCGCAAGGAGGCAGGGUCCUAAGGUGAGACUGGUAACUGGGAUG